AUCGAUCCAAAGAAGAAGGAACGAGAUAGUGUUUCAAUUCCGUCUUGCUAUUAAUAUCUUCUCCUCCGUAGCAACAGAACUGAGGUAUCCAGGUUGCUCCAUCUACAAUAGAGCGCAUAUAAGACGUAGAACAAUGGGUAGGAGAGAGAGGCCAUUGGCUAACAUUAGCUCUCUUCUUUCUGUAUGUUAGGUAAUGGCACGCGGUUAGUUGUUUCUUAGUGAAGCUCCACUUGAGGAAGCAAAAAUUAGUUUUCGGGAAAACAGAAAUAUGAAGAGAAAGCUUGUCCUGAUUGAUCUUUAAAUAGAAUGGGGAAGUCUCGAUGCAGUGAACCACGUGAAUCCCUUUGACAAGAUAAUUCAAGUUCAUUGUCUAACUUUGAAAAAUAGCAAUGAUAUGGUCAGGAAGAUAUUGAUGUAUUUGAAGAGGAUUUAAAGGGAACUGGAAGGCAGAACAGCUGAUUCUUGUGUUACCUUGUGGUUUUCUAAUGACAAUAUUUUAUAUCAUCUGAAAAUCUUAAUUUGAGCAUUAAUUUGGAGAGAUGGACACUGUGUUACCUCACCCAAGUCAAAUAAUUCAUGAGUUCUUUGUUCCUGUGAAUCUGGCGACUCAGAAGAGCACUCCCAAUCACUGGAAAGGCAAAACAUAUUUCUUCAGACUGUACAAGAACCAUGGUUCCAGUUUGGCUUCUGGUGAGAACCUCAUGCUUCUUUUACUCAAGGUGGAAGGCAAAGGGGAGCCAGCAUGCAAAGAUCACAUGGAUUUGGGCAUUGGACUAGCUGAGAAAAUCUAAAUCUCAAGACGGAAGAAGUAUUUGUUAAGCCUAACAAGAACAUUAAAUAGCCACCAUCUGUCCUAUGUAAUAAAAUUAAUGAGUUUUUCUUCCACCCUCUCUAUUAAUAAAGUCUUUGGGAAAAAGGUGUGGAACUAAGCACCUGGGAAUGAACUUCAUGGGCUUUGAUGGGGUCACAAUUUCCUGAAAUGCUUUCCCUCCCUUUUUUUUAGUAUUACUCUUUGCAAAUUUUCAGGCUGUCACCGUUUAAUGCAUAGGAAAGGAAUUUUUAUUUCUGCAUUUUCCCACCUGUUACCACCUUGGUAAGUGAGGGGAUAACAAUGAAUCUGUGGAACUCAACCCUAGUGGUCUCAGUGGAAACAGAAAAACAGACCUCCAGGAAGAAAGGAAGAGACAUCUUAAGAGAAAUUGAAAUUUCAU
rnacentral:lncRNA from 1 species